AUCUUUUCUUGUCACCCCACGCGCACGUGAGACUGCCACCGGCACCACGCCGCUCCAUGCAGAGAGCUGCUGCUGCCUGGCCCUGCCUGCUGCCUCAGGAAAGUCUGUGAAAAAGUGCUGCCUGCACACCUGCAGCUAUAACACGAGACAACUGCAACACUUUUUGGCUGGGCUUGCUGUUCCUCACUCCUUGGCAGGGGAUUUGUUAAGUGAAACACCAGGACACAGCCGUGGAUGGACAGUGCACCUGUGACAGCAGACAUCGGGUGAAAGCCCCUCAGGGGACAGGCACAGUGGUGAAUCCAGCAGCUCUGAGAGGACAAGGUGGAGAGAGAAGGACAAGGGGACAGUCUGAAUAUUGUCAGCAGAGAUCCACAAACACUGUUCUAAGACUUGCUCAGGAGCAAGUGUUCUGUGUGGGCACAGCUUGGGGUGCCCCCAGAGUGACCCGAGCUCUUCAGGAGGCCACCAAGGGUGGAAGAGGGAGUAAAGGCCAAAUUAGUGGCCACUUUCAGCAGUGACACUUUGCAGCCCAGAUGAAGUGCAGUGCCAGAUGGGCCACCUGAACCUGUUGCAGCCACAAGGUACCUGUCUCUCUGGAGGUCUUGCCUCACUUUCCUCCUCAAUUUAAAGGCAGUCUGGUUAUCUAUCCCUGCAUGGGGCCUCAGAUCACUAUCUCUUCCCUAGCUGCUCCUUCCAUGGUCAGGCCUGCUCAUGGCCCAAAGCAUUGCCAGGCCAGCAAGUUUAUACAUACACAUCUUGAGAUGUGCUGCUGCUUAAACAAGGUUAGCCAGAGCCUCAUUACUAAGAUUUACACUGUCACUUACAGAGAUGCCCAUCCAAUCCUAUAACACAUAAAUUUAUGGGCAUCGCAGCGAAUUUUUUAUUGUUAGAGCUCAUAUACAAUGUGUGCCCUUAGUGACACAUUUUUAAAUAAAAUAUAUUGUACUAGUGAUUUCUAAUGCUUAAAAUAAAAUAAAAUAAUAAUCAACUUUUAGCUAUAGUUUCCCCCUGGUUAUUGAGCUGAACUUAACGACUGGCUGAAAAGUAUUUGUCAACACAACAGCUGGAGAGCAACACUUUCUUGUGGCUUUAUGUCACAGCAUAUGCCAGCCACUCAGAACAUGUGAUAAUUCAACUGGAGCUGGUACUACAAUAGCAGAUGGGUUGAAGCAUUGUUAUUCUCACUCUAGCUCCCAGCCCUUGAGGGAUCACUAAAUAAAAUCAAAGCAGAUGGACCAUUA